rnacentral:lncRNA from 1 species
GUGCGUACCUUGCAAGGUCUUCAUGUCUGUCAGACAGUUUUCACUUGACCUCGAUCUCAUUUCAUGGAUCAGUGAACAAGGUUAAGUUUUGGUGGUCAAGUUCAUAUCUCAGAUAAUAUAAGCAAUAGGGCUUGUAUAUUCGGUGUAUGGAAGGACUGUAAGGUGUACAUGUCCAACUGGCAGGUGUCAUUUGACCUUGACCUCAUUUUCAUGGUUCAGUGGUUAUAGUUAAAUUUUUGUGUUUUGGUCUGUUUUUCUCAUACUAUAUGCAAUAGGUCUACUAUAUUUGUUGCAUGGAAUGAUUGUAAGGUGUACAUGUCUAGCGGGCAGAUGUCAUGUGACCUUGACCACAUUUUCAUGGUUCAGUGGUCAAAGUUAAGUUUUUGAGUUUUGGUCUUUUUAUCUAAUACUAUAUGCCAUAGGUCAACUAUAUUUGGUGUAUGGAAAUAUUUUAUGAUCUUUACGUCAGUCGCACAGG